CUUCGCUACCUUUCCAUCGUCUGUCGCGUGCCAUCGCUUCACCCCAUGUACAGGGCUAUAAAAAGGCUUCCCAUCGACAUGUCUACCUCAGUGUCUUCAAAAUCCCGCCACACUAGACCUCAUCGACGACGCGUGCCUCGCCGGAGAACCCGGCAUCACCCCAUGUCUCUCUCCGUGCGGCCGAGGUGGUGGUGCACACAGAAAAGACGGCACACGAGAGUUACUAUGGUGGCCACAGCCAAGGAAAAGGCCCCUGCCCCAUCUCCGUUCUCUUCCCGACGAGGCCCUCCCCCAUCGGUCAUCAGCUACGGCUUAAGGGGCGCACGCGGAGGCCGUGGCCGAUUGAGGUGGAGCUCGCCCCUGUUGGACAGCAGGGCGACCGCGGCUUGGUUUCACCUGAUUCUUCCCUCCUCCACCGCCAGCAGCAAGAGCGCCGCCACCAAACGUGCUUUGCGUGUCUUCUUGGAUUUCCCUCUUCCGAGGCACACAACCGCCUCGAUCCAAACCUUCCCCGUGGACUUGUGGAGGCAACGUGAGUUCUUUGUGUUGUCGUUAUUUUUCAGUGUCUUGAGUCUAUGCAAGAAAGAGAUGAGCAGCCAAUCAAUUUGAGGAUGGUGGGUGCAUGCUGGCCGCUGCUCGCGAUCGUGGGUGGUCAGACUGGCACAAGAAAAAGUCCGAUGAGGUCGUCAUCUGUCAGCGCAUCUGCACCUCCAUGCGGGUGCUCAAGAUGGAUGAUGAUUUUUAUAAGAGCCCUAUCCCGGACACCUGCGGUUAUGGCUGCACGGUGAUUGAUGAAGUGGUUUCCAAUGAUCUGCAGGAAGGAUAGAGAUGAAUACCCAUCUCUGAGUGGUGAAGAAGUUCCCUGUUUCCCUGCCCGAGCCUUACAACAGCGUAUAUUUAUGCUUUUGUUCUCCAAGUAGUAAGAUGUCAAAGCACAAGUGUCUUUUUAAGGCUUCUUUAAAGUUUGUUUUCUGAUUUUCAAUCCUGGGGACAUGUAGUUAUUUCUUCAUUUUCUAAUCUGAAAAAUACA